rnacentral:rRNA from 1 species
CUACGGGUGGCUGCAGUCAAGGGUAUUCUGCAAUGCACGAAAGUGUGACCGAGUGAACCAAAGUGCUUUUCUUUUUGAAAAGCUUUUGCCAAAUGCAAAAAGUUUGGCGAAUAAGGACUGGGUAAGACGAGUGCCAGCCGCCGCGGUAAUACUCGCGGUCCAAGUCGCAGCCAUUUUUAUUGGGUCUAAAACAUCCGUAGCUUGUUUUACAAGUUUCUUGUGAAAUCCGGCUUCUCAAGAGUCGGGCGGGCAAGAAAUACUGUAAAGCUAGAGACUGGGAGACGUAAGAAGUACGAUUAAGGUAGUAGUAAAAUACAUUAAUCUCAAUCGGACUAACAAUAGCGAAGGCAUCUUACGAGCACAGUUCUGACAGUAAGGGAUGAAGGCCAGGGGCGCAAAACGGAUUAGAUACCCUAGUAGUC